AUGUCGUCACUGGGAACUUCGAAGGGGAUUCUAGAGAUCGCCAAGUUUGGGGUUUACGUUACUGUACCCAUCGUUCUUAUGUACGUCUAUGCAAGCAAUACCGACAACACCCUCCACAAGUUCAUCGGAAAAAAGUCAUAUAUCGAAUAUCCCAAGGAUACACAAAAGCCACCACCACCAGAGGAACUUCGAGAGAUGGCGAGGGAGAUAGCUCGCAAAAGGAACAACCCGUGA